GUCGCAGUUCAGUGUAUGCUUUCGUAGGAGAAAUAUGAAAUUGCAAAUUUUAAAACUUCUAUCUACGUAGUCUUUCUGGUUGUCUCUACUUUUCUAUUCUUAUUCAACAACUUAUUCAACUUUCUUACAACUUAAUGAAAUGUAAAAGAAAAUAUUAACAAUUGUGAAGAUUAUGUUAAUGUAGAUAUCCUAAAUAAAUUUGGAAAUAAGAUUAUUGGAUAAUCUAUUCCGUGAAUAUCACGAUAAAGAAUUUGAGAAACACGUUCUACAUGGUAAUGGAUCUUCUCUAUUGCCAUUUUGCUGAAAGAAUUCAUCAGAUCAUAGAUUCUUAUAAAAAUUUCUGAAUUGGAAAGAAAUUCCACAUGAAUCCACAUACAAGAUUUGUAAUUGAUAUGUAGCUUAAUAUUGCAUAUGUAGAUGCUUCUGAUCCAGAAGAAUUUCCUAUUGUUUACAAAAAAUGCCACAUGGAAUACAAGUUUGCAGGAGAUCCUGAACAAUGAUAUGGAAAAAAUUGAAUUUUCUCUUUCAAACGCUUCAUUGUUCCUGUAUUCGAAUGUAUUUAUCAAGUUAAUCAUAUUCAAAUUUAUAAUAGUGAAGUAUUUUGUCACAUAUUAUAUAAAAAAAAUUAUUUGUGAUAUUAAUAUUAUGAUAAUGUUUCAAUCAAUACAAUUUUAUUGA